UACUCGCUAAUCAAGUGACUAUUAUACGCUUGAAUAAGUUGUGAUGUAUUGUUUCCCUCCUAUGGUGGACCCCCUCUAAAAUUUACUCUCUUCCUCUCUUUUCAUGCCUUUCUUUUCAUCA
ensembl:ncRNA T06H11.20 ncRNA